rnacentral:rRNA from 1 species
GGAGGGUGCUAGCGUUGUUCGGAAUCACUGGGCGUAAAGGGCGCGUAGGCGGCUCUGGCAGUCGGCUUGUGAAAGCCCGGGGCUCAACCCCGGAGGUGCGGCCGAAACACCAGGGCUUGAGGCCGGAAGAGGAGGGUGGAAUACCCAGUGUAGAGGUGAAAUUCGUAGAUAUUGGGUGGAACACCGGUGGCGAAAGCGGCUCUCUGGUCCGGGCCUGACGCUGAGGCGCGAAAGCGUGGGGAGCAAACAGGAUUAGAUACCCUGGUAGUCCACGCCCUAAACGAUGCGGGCUAGACGUCGGGGGGCAUGCCCCUCGGUGUCGCAGCGAACGCGUUAAGCCCGCCGCCUGGGGAGUACGGCCGCAAGGUUAAA